rnacentral:lncRNA from 1 species
UUAUGCAUUUAAUUACCUUUUCAGUUGUGUUUUCCAAAUCAAUAUUGUUGUUACUAAUAUCUUUUAUUAAUCUUAUAAUUCAUUGAAAGGCCAAUAAGUGUUACAGUAUCUUUUAUUCAGACAUAUUUGAUAAUGUUCCCUUUUAUCCUGGCUUGAGCUCUUUGGAUAGCCUGAAGCUUUUUACAAAGGCCAUGAGAUCUGAUCACAGAAGCUUUUUACAGCGUUCAAUAUGUUAUGAUCAUGCUCGACAUCUAACAUUUUCAGUGUCACUCGGUUAUGCCAUUCAAGUCCUGCCUAACAUUGUCUUACCCCGUGAGCUGGAGCGGUCAGAGCGUACCUACUCUGCUUGGAAUGGUGUCUCUAAAAGGGAUGAAUUUGAUUUUGAUGCUAGGGAGCCAUCUAGAUCUGUUUGUAAAAAGCCUACUAUCUUCUUCCUGAAAGAUGUUGGAAGGGAAAGCAAUGCUUCAUGGGGUUCAUAUGUUCGAAGUAGAGAGAAAGAUGAUUUUAAAAGGAGAAUUUUCUGCUUUUCUCACUUGCCUCCUUUGCGUAAUGUGCAAGAGAUCCAGGUAUCGGUGCAGCCUUUGAGCAAGAAUUGGCAUCUGGUACCACGUCGCCUCUGUUGUAGGCAAAACCACGCAGGUCAAGAAAUCUUCCAAAUCUCAGUUGGAGAGUGUGGGAAGGGAACUUUUAGCUAGGUCUACUGAUGUGUAUGUGAGUUUGUGUUAUGCCAUUUUAGGAUUACUGUCUUGUAGCUUGUACAUGUUUUGGACUUUAUUGAAGAGCUAAUUCAAUGCGGCAGCUAGUAGAUUUUACCUUGAAUCGAGCUUUCUUGAACUACUUUUAUAUGGUAUACACUUGAAAGGCUCCUACCACAAAAGCUUAAGUAUUAAAAGAAUCCCUAUUCUUCCUGUUAUUAAGUUUUUUUCUUUCAUUUUUCAGCUCAAAAAUUGAUUUUGUUACCUCAGGAAUGAAACGAGGGGCAAAAUUGGAUAUUU